CCGCGGUCUUACCAAACUCUCCGAAAUGGUCGGGAAAAAUAAACCCCCCAACGUCGUCUUUUAGUGUCAGCGAGUCGGGCUGACACUAAAUCCUUGGCCAGGAGCCUUUUGUGGGUGCCUGACAAAACUUUGGCCUCCACACAGACGCUGAUAAAAACUUUCUCACCUAUUCAUACAUUUUUAUCAAAAUAAUGUUCACUGCUUCUAAAUUACAUAAUUAAUCAUUUCCAACAUGGGAGGCGCCUCAGGGCGGCUGAGGGGCGGCCGUGCCCUGGGCUGUCACGGGCUAUCCUGCUGCUCGGCCCUGCUUCCUCUUCCCUGCUUCGCUGCCGCUGAUUCACUUUUCUCGUUGAUUUUUAAUUAAUUUUUUAAAUUAAUCAUGAUCAGGAUAUUAAUUAUAAGCAGUGUGGUAGUGUGUGCACUAGACCUGUAGGAAAACAUAGUCCAGAAACUUGCUAAAUGGUGGCUUGUUCCGAUGAUCAUAGGAAAUACCUUCGUGACAGGGUGAAAGUCACCCCGAGGCAGGGGGUUCCAUCCAACUUUCUCCGGCCUGAAUGCUGAAAAUAAAGACGGUGAUUUUGUCUCAGUGGGGGACAGAGAACAGCAAAGAGCAGCAGAAAGACGAAUCCAGCGUUGCCCUGGUAAGACGCAUUCGAUUUGAGCUGAAAAGGUCACUGCCCACAUCAUUGCAUCACGACGGCCGCUGAGGGUAUGAGGCUGUGGCAGACUGCUUUUACCAAGGGAUUGUCCUUGCCAUAAACUAUUUCUGACGUGUUGUGCUCAUCUCCAGCACAGCAAGGACCAAAGGUGACUGUCUAAGGGCACUCAGCUGGAGGAAGGAUCCUUCAAGUGAGCAGCGUGCUGCAAUAAAGAAUGCCUGCUUUCUAAUAUUCAAACUGUGUUAGAAAGUUUUUAUCUAACCAAUUUUGAUAUAAUUUUUGGCAACUUUGGAUGGAACACUCUGCCUGGUCUCCCAUGGAUCCAAGGAGGUCUCUGGAUCUUCAUGGAAGCACUGAGACUUUCCUGGAGAAGACCACAGACCCUCGUACCAGUCUGGGACACUGAAUCAUCCAGAAUGGCAGGAAGAUUGUGGGUUGGAUCCAAUGCCCUCAGACCCUUUUGUGCUGGAUCUUGAAAAAGAGAAUCAAGGAAAACAGUUAAAAUGUUGUACUAUAUUCAGCAGAGGAUAAAUUUGUUAUAAACAUCUCCCUUAUAAGGAGGGUGAUUUAAAUCUUAAGGUCAGUCCUAACUGCAGGUUGGAUGGGGAUACAGAUAAUCAGGCUGCUGAGACUGGUAUUUUGAAGGAACUGGCACAUAAAGAGGCAGAUUUAGCACAUGUAGAAGAGAAGACAGGAUAAAGAGGAUGUAUCAAGGACCAGAGGGUUUAGUCCAAUUACAGGGCAACCUAGAGCUAAAUACGGAGAUGUGAUAGUAGCUCCCCUCCAUCAGGGGGUAGGUAUAGAUGGUCCAAUCACAGUAAAAUUUCUGUUUUCAAUAACAGACCUUAAUAAUUGGAAGUCAGUGGCUGGCACCUACCAAGUUGACCCAGACAAAAUGGCAAAAGCAUUUUAAAUGAUGAUUAAAACUCAGGAUCUGGACUGGAAGGAUAUAGCUACUGUGUUACAAAUGUUGUUUGGUAGUACAGAAAGAGAGAUGGGUGUUAAAACCAGUAGGAGGUUUGUGGAAGAGCUAAUUUUGACUGGUAAAUUUACAGGUACAUUAGAUAUUAGUUUUCCCACUGUGGAUUCUGAGUGUGACCCUAAUGUGCCCAUGUUUAGAGAGGGAUUUUGGAUACUAUAUGGAAUUAGACAUGCCAUACCAAAGGCUAUAAAUAUGUCCAAAUUAUUCCAAAUUAAGCAGGAUCAUAAGGAAUCACCUAUUGAAUUUUUAAAUCUCUUAAAAGAAACGGCUCAAAAAUAUAUUAAUAUCAAUCCUGAAACAGGAAGGAAAAACUCAAUUAGCCCGUAUAUUUGUGGCUCAAUCCUCAGAUAAUAUUAAAAGAAAACUACAAAAGGCUGAGGGACAAAAUCACUAUGAUUUAGGGAAGCAGUUAGAUGUUGCUUGGAGAGUUUAUCAGAAUAGAGAAAAACACCAAGAAACAACUAAACAAAAAAUAGUUGCAGUUAUGGAAGGAAUCUCCAAAGGAAUAGUGCUCCCGGGGGAAGAAAGGGGAUGAGGGCAUGGACAACCUAUCUCAAGCUCCCCUGGGAGACUAGGUAUUAAUCAAUAUGCAUAUUGUAAGAAAGACAGGUGUUGGAAAAGCGACUGUCACAGUUGCAACAUACAACUCUCAUGGCCAUCACUGAUGAUGACUGAGGGAGACCUGAGGAUUCUUGCCUGGCAGAACCUCUGAUUACAGCUAAACUGGAGAGUGAGGAGGUAAAUGAGGAGGUAGAAUUUUUAGUAGAUACAGGAGGUAUUUACUCUCUGCUAAAUACAGUAAAAGGAAGUGUGAAUGGUUUUAUAACAAUCAUUGGUGCAAAAGGGAAUCACAAAACUCGGCUUUUUUGAAGUCCAUUGAUUUUAAACUAGGAAAACAAUGGGUGACUCACCCAAUUCACCAAAGCCUCUACUUGGGAGAGAUUUAUUGGAAAAACUAAAUGCUGAAAUUAAAUUUAGACGUGGCAAAAUACAGGUGAUUAUUCCAGAAUCUAAUUACAUGGAAUCCUCUAUUUUUGCACUACAAUCUCCGAAAUUUGACAUGAUCUGUCUGCCAGUAUCACUUGAGGAUGCAGUGAUUCCAAUAGUUUGGGCUGGAGAGGUGCUCAGGCGUUCCAAAAGAGCAGAGCCUAUAAGAAUUAAAUUGAAAUUUGGAGUGGGACCAGUAAGGCAAAAGCAAUACCCUUUGAAAAUAGAAAGUUGUAAGGGGUUGUUACCCCUUGUGGAAAAAUUGAUAAAAUAUGGCCUAUUGAAAGAAUGUGAAUCCAAAUUUAAUAUCCCUAUUUUGCCAGUUAAGAAGGCAACUGGAAAGGAUUACUGGCUAGUAGAGGACCUUAGAGCCAUAAAUAAGAUAGAAGAUAUACACCCAGUAGUAGCAAACCCUUAUACCUUGCUAACAAUCUAGAGUGAAAAAUUAAAAUGGCUCACAGUAUUAGAUUUGAAAGAUGCCUUUUUCUGUAUCCCUUUGAGUACUGGAAGUCGAGAGCUUUUUGCUUCGGAAUGGGAAAAUCCAAACACAGGGAGAAGAACACUUGGAUGGUUCUGCCGCAGGGGUUUAAAAAUAGCCCCACCAUAUUUGCAAAUCAAUUGGCAAAAGAAUUGGAGAAAUGGAAAAAUCAGAACCCUAUUGUAGUCUUGUUACAGUAUGUACAUAACAUUCUGGUAUCCACUGAAACUAAACAGCAUUGUUGGGAUCAGGCUGUGGCAUUGUUGAGUUUUUUGGGACUAAGUGGAUAUAGAGUAUCCAAAGACAAAGCACAAACAGUCCAGACCAGAGUAACCAGUGUGGAAAUAAAAAUCCUUCAAGGACAAAGGAGGCUGGGACAGGAACAAAAAGAAGCAAUUUGCCAACUCCCACAGCCAUGAAUAGUAAGAGAGUUGCAUGCGUUUCUCAGGAUGGGGGGAUGGUGUUGUCUGUGAAUUUGCAGUUAUGGGUUGCUAUCUUGGGGUGACUUUAUGACGUUGUAUCCCCUAUCGCUGCUCUAUGCCCAGACAUGAUUCCUGUGCCUUUCUGUGUCUUUAAAACUAGGUGUGAGAGAAAGAAAAAAAAAAAGCCAGACAAACUUUUCAAAGCAGUUUGUGUUCCAAGGUCACUCUAUCUUUUCUGUGUGCUUCUGUGGCAGCAAGAGCAGAGGCAAGCACCUUCCUGCUUUUCCCGGCUCUUGGCUCCUUUUCUCAGGAGAGAGACAGAGAGUUAAACUCCUUUGCUUUUCAGCUAGUCUGCAAGCUAAGGCAAGAAAGUUUUUUUCCCCUGGGACUUUGGCAUCCUCUUCUUCUUCUCUUCUGGACUUUCAACAAUACCAGAACGAACUGGGAGACCCUGCACCAAGGCCCGGGGGCCCAAGCCAACCCAGCUCUGAAGAGGAGAAAGCCACACCCACAAAGGACUCUCAAAUCUUCCCAGGUUUCUCUUCACAGCAAGAGGUUUUAUUAUUUAGCAUUAUUCUUUUCCCAUUGUGCAUUG